AGAUGAGGUAGAGGCGAAGGUCAGGUGUUGGCCGACGAAGAUGAAGCGGAGGCAGAGGCGAAUUUUUUGACGGAGGGGAAUUUGAGGGCUAUAGUUGGAGAGUAUCACAUUGCGUCUAACAUGAGGUGGCUGAAGGGGAGACGCUCAUAAUGAUGGAUAGGACCAGAAGAAUUUCACGCCCACAAUCCAUUUAAUUAAAGUUCAGCUAAGUGAUGGACACGAUAGGUUGGCAAGCAUGGUUAUCGUAUGGACAUGAACCUAAUUGCGUGCAGACAAACUCAGCUUGCAGAUCAAAAUAAAUGCUACAAAUACUCCUCUUCAUUUAAUUUUUAGAAGAAGAUUUUUCAGAGCACAGAGAUUGCAUCAUUACUAUCCUCCAUUUUUUCUUCAACUACCAGAAGCUCAAACCACGUAAGGAAGAAGCUCGCCUUGUGAACUUUGUUCAUCGCUGGCCCUCGACACCUGAUGUUUGAUCUUGUUUCGACAUAACCACAUAACAAUUAAUAUUAGAUCAUUGUUGGCACUC